GAUGAACGCUGGCGGCGUGCCUAAUACAUGCAAGUCGAGCGGUAAGGCUUUCACUCUGUAUUUAAUGAGCUGAAUAUAGUGUGAAAGUACACGAGCGGCGGACGGCUGAGUAACGCGUAGGAACGUACCCCAAAGUGAGGGAUAAGCACCGGAAAACGGUGUCUAAUACCGCAUGUGAUCUUCGGAUUAAAGCUUUAUGCGCUUUGGGAGCGGCCUGCGUAAAGAUUAGUUUUGUUGGUGAGGUAAUGGCUCACCAAGACUACGAUCUUUAGUCUGGUCUGAGAGGAUGAUCAGCCAGACUGGGAC
rnacentral:rRNA from 1 species